rnacentral:piRNA from 1 species
UGAGAAGAACCUGCAGACAUGUUCUCUGCUC